rnacentral:rRNA from 1 species
AACCUGCGGAAGGAUCAUUAAUGAGGGCGUGUGGGGCUUAAUAUCCCCC